AGUAAAACAGUACGUGAAAUUGUUGAAAGGGAAACGAUUGAAGUCAGUCAUGCCGGCGUUGGAUUCAGCUUGCUUCGCGGAGCUUGCGCAUUUCCUCGCAUGGCAGGUCAGCGUCAGUUUUGCGCGGCGUGAAAAGGCUCGGGUAAGGUAGCUCUCUUCGGGGAGUGUUAUAGACCUGGGCAAAUGCGCAGCGCGGGACUGAGGAUUGCAGCGGACACCUCUUCGGGGGCGCGGCGACCGAACCCUGCUCGGCCACCCUCGUUCGAUAGCGUGCUAACGGACGCGGGAGCGGCAGUGCACCGGAACAGGCAAGCCAGCGGUUCGCUUAGGAUGCUGACGUAAUGGCUUUAAA
rnacentral:misc_RNA from 1 species